rnacentral:SRP_RNA from 1 species
GCCGAGCCAGGUAGCGUUGGCUUGUAACACAAGCGUGGGCAAAUGAGGUUUGGAAUGGUCUAUGGAGCCACAUCUGGGUUGGUUGCGAUCGUGUAGAAGCCUGGCCUGCCCGUUCCAAGUCAGGUAGAUUGAGCCAUGCGGCUUGGGCGAAGGCCUGUGCUUCUUGGUUCUUAGAGCAGAGGGCACCGCGUCAGGCUGGCUUCACAGAGCAGCGAUCACCACUCUCUCUUGACGGUGGGAGGAUAACAGGUCGGCGCACAUCGCAUCCACCACGCCCACCUCCCCUCCUUAGACCAGACCACCACCUUU